AGGUGACCCAAACUGACCAAAGGGAUAUUCCAUACCAUAUGACGUCAUGCUCAGUUUAUAAGGAGCUUGGGGGGAAGAGAAGGGGGGGGCAGCGGCGUUUGGAGUGAUGGCGUUUGUCUUCCCAAGUAACCAUUACGCGUGACAGGGCCCUGCUUCCCUGGAGAUGGCUGAACACCUGCCUGCCCAUGGGGAGUGGUGAAUGAAUUCCUUGCUUUGCUUUGCUUGUGCGCGCGGCUUUUGCUUUACCUAUUAAAAUAUCUUUAUCUCAACCUACGAGUUUUCUCACUUUAACUUUUCCAAUUCUCUCCCCCAUCCCGAUGGGGGGGGGAGCGAGUGAGCGGCUGCAUGGUGCUUAGCUGCCGGCUGGGGUAAAACCACGACAGUCCUUUUUGGCGCCCAACGUGGGGCACGAAGGGUUCGAGAUAAUGACAGAUUUGAUUGGAAUGUGCUAGAUUGAAUUUAUAGUUGUUAUUAGCUAUUAAUUGGCAGGCUCCUGUGCUUGCCAUGGGGCUUGCUUGCCUUACUGUAUAUUAGAGGCUAGUGCUCGUUAGUGGCUGCUUUUUGCUUUCGCUGCUCGCUGUACUGCUGUACUGCUUAUCAUCUUACUGUGCUGUGCCUUGGAACGUUUUGAUAACAGCAAUGGCGAUGUGCCUGGCCUGGCAGAUGGCCAGGGCACUGCUGCUGUUUCUGUGCUGCUGUCCUGGACAGGCUGGAGCUCCUGUGUGCACUCGAGUCAAAGGGACUGUGACCUGUGGAUGAGUCCACGUCGGAGCAGGACACCCCAAAGCGUCUGUGGCUGUGGUUGCGUCUGUGCCGCAGCAGGUAUAUCUCGAAGUGUCUGGGGCCGCGGUUGCGUCUGUGCCGCAGCAGGUAUAUCUCGAAGUGUCUGGGGCCGUGGUUGUGUCUGUGCCGCAGCAGGUAUACCUCUGGAAGGAUUGUGAGCCAAGGAUAAGUCCAUGCUGGAGAAGGUACACCUCGAAGCAUCUGUGGCAAGGAUAAGUCCAUGCUGCAGCAGGUACACCUUGAAGCAUCAGUGGCUGUGCAUGGGGUCAUGCUGGAACAUUUCAAAGUGUGUGGCUAUGGACGAGCCCAUGACAGGGCAGGUUUAUUUCUAAGAGGACUAAAGUGACUGUGACUGUGGACAAGGCCACGCUGGAGCAAGUAUAUCUAUGAAGGCAUUGUGGCCCAUGGAGAAGGCCAUGCUGGAACAGGUGUACCCCUGGAGAGACUGUGGCUCGUGGAUAAGGCUCCACUUGGAGCAGGUACACCCCUAAGGGACUGCAGUCUGUGGAUAAGUUCAAGCCGGAGCAGGGGCAAGGGGAGGUGUUCAUUGCAAUGGUAAACUUGAUGGUCUGACUCGAAGGGACCAGGGGUGGAGAUUGUAAUGGAAAUACCUUUAAAUUGUUGUAACCCAUGAUUUGAGUUGCAUGUUACAGGAAUUACUGUAGCAGAAAUCACCUGAACCAAUGGAGAACGAGCCUUACAAGAAGCAGCGCAAGUGCAGCAGUGGACCUGACCUGAGCUGGUUUUGGUGCCCAGUAACUCCACACGUCAACCACCUCUCCUGUUCUGAGUGACCACCAUGGUGGAUGGAGCCCAAGGUUGUGGACCAAGUCAACCCAAUGGACAUUCUGUGGACAUUUAUGGACAUUUUAAAAGGGUGGUCCACAGACUAAGGGAAUGAUAUCAGCAUAUUAUAUCAAGGGAUGGGAAGGGUGGUGGUGCUUAAUGAGGAUGUAUUGAAUUGUGUGGGACCUGAGCAUGACGUAAAUAGUAUGGAAUAAGGGGUGGAUAAUGUCCUGGUUUUAGCUGAGAGGGUUGAUUUUCUUCAUAGUAGCUAGUGUGGGGAUAUGUUUUGGAUUUGUGCUGGAGACGGUGUUGAUAAUAUAGAGAUGUUUUUGUUCUAUGGACUUAUUGUUGAGCAGUGUUUACACAGGGCCAAGGCCUUUUCUGCUUCUUGCGCUGCCCUGCCAGCGGGAUGGCUGGGAGUGCACAAGAAGUUGGGAGGAGACAGACAGGACAGGUGACCCAAACUGACCAAAGGGAUAUUCCAUACCAUAUGACGUCAUGCUCAGUUUAUAAGGAGCUUGGGGGGAAGAGAAGGGGGGGGCGGCGGCGUUCGGAGUGAUGGCGUUUGUCUUCCCAAGUAACCAUUACGCGUGACAGGGCCCUGCUUCCCUGGAGAUGGCUGAACACCUGCCUGCCCAUGGGGAGUGGUGAAUGAAUUCCUUGCUUUGCUUUGCUUGUGCGCGCGGCUUUUGCUUUACCUAUUAAAAUAUCUUUAUCUCAA